GGGGAUGUGUUGGAUUUGAUCAGAGGAUCCUACAUGUAUCGCAUGCCACUACUCGACGCACGUACCGAGUCAAAACAAUCGGGCAACACAAAAUGCAAAAACUAGUCUCUUCGCGAGAUUUAACGCUGCUUUGGCUUACGCCUAGCUAGUGUAACUCAUAGUACCGACUCCUGCUGAGUCUAUGAGUGCUUAAGCAGGUGAACGCAUAGGUCGGGAUGAUGCCAAACAGAUGUGUGCUGAUGUGCUGCUGUGCCCUGUCAUCAAGACCCUAAAACAUCGGACAACCCAUCACGCUAUAGUGGUAGUAUGUAGUAUAUGUACCUUUGAGACACGGGUUCGAGACCCGUCAUCUCCACCA
rnacentral:tmRNA from 1 species